rnacentral:lncRNA from 1 species
GCCGGUCAUGUUUGAGACUUAUCAGCUGAUUUUGCUGUUCUAAAUAUAAAUGAUCUUUUGUGCUCCUAGCCUUUUAGUGUGUUCAGGCAAAGGCAGUGAUUUAUUUGCUGAUAAAUCUAGGAUAAUCCAAUGUCAUAGGGUAUUGACUGUCUAAAAGAUUUGAUAAUGGAAUAUUGAGCUUUUCAAUUGCAGAUCAUUUAACAUUUAUCCUUGACCAGAAUAACUGCAGAAAACCCAGUAUCUAAGUGGCCUUGCAGAUUGUUUGACAACCCCAGUUUAUAGCAAAACAGUACCUUCCUCAUUCAAGAGUUUCUUGGAAAGCAGAGAGGGACAACCUCAAGAAAUGUCCUGAAAUAAUCCAGAAUGAAUGCCUGUAGAAUGCAAAUUACACUUUUUCUGUCAGAGAUGAACCUUUCAGACCACGUUCUGAGGCAGACACCCUAGCACUGUUUCUACCCGUCUUCCCUUGAGACAGAGGAAAAGAAGGGAACUGAGGGAUACUAAAUGCCUUUAUUCAGCUCUUCUGAAGCACGCUACCCUCACGCACAGAACAGCUGGAAGUCAGGGGAGCCAAGGGAAGCGAUCACACUUCCUUUCCCAGAAGCAAAGCUACUGCAGUCCCUUGUUCUGGCUCUUCUGCUUCCCAAGCCCAUGAGAUAUAAAGCACAGGCUGAGCUACAGUCGAAAGAACAAAUCAUCCAAAGCCACAACCUGUGCUUUCUUGGAGAAGGAAGUUUUUCAGAAAUGCAGGGAAAAUGGCUCUCUGCCACAUCUUGCCUGAAGACCAUACAUAUAUCACUGGAGAUCAGAGGAAGAGAUGACACACGCUGGCAUCAGGCAGGAUUUAUGGAAAGCUGCUCCUGUGACAGUCGUCUCCUACAUGACCUCUUGCAGUUCCUUCUAAGACUUCUUUCUUUUACUCCUUGUAAAUAUUCCUGGUGCAGAGGCAUUGAAAUAUUACAAAAAAAUAUUUGUAUACUCAUAAGGCAGAUGGAUGUGCUAAUUUCUCCAUGA